CAGAAAGUGACCUUUAAAUACUUCGUAUGUGUAUUACAGAAUAAUUUAGUUUUUUGCAUGCAAUAUUAUACCCUUACACUGACAGCAUUGAUUACAGGCAAGACACAUGGUUCUGUUGAACUUGAGCACUUUAUGAAUUGACUUGUUUUAGAACCAAUCGUUGCAAGUCCAUAAUAGAAGUAUCCAUAAUAGAGGUAUCUAAAAUUCUCAGCCUUAGAUUUAACAACAUUAAACUAGACCAGUUUCUAUUUUUACAAAUAUUUAGAAAAACUUUAUAAAGAAAAGAAAAUUCUCAGCUUCUAAAGUUUUGUUCUUGUAAAGUUAAAACUUGUCUUUGACAAUCAGGUUGAUGAUGUGAAACUUUAUAAAUUACUUGUACAUGUAUGUAUAUAAGUAAAGUUUCUGUCCAAAUAAGACGUAUAUAUGAGAUUUAUUCUAGUCAUCAAAUUUGCAAUAACAUUUUCAACUCAUUGGAAUCAUAAAAAAUCAUGUUUGUGUUAUUCACAUUCAAUCUCAU
rnacentral:lncRNA from 1 species